GUGAGUGUAGCUCAACGGUCAGAGCACUGGACUGUGGCUCCAGGGGUUGGGGGUUCGAGUCCCCUCACUCACCCCA
rnacentral:tRNA from 1 species